AUACACUCCGGUAUUGGGCCUUGGGGUCAGGCUGCAGGCUCUGCAUCCGUGUCUUCACGGAAUCCACCGGGUACAUCACGCUGUGUUCCAUGAUCCCCGCCACCGCCCCGGCCAACAUGUGCGUGCCAAGCGAGGCUCCGCUGGGCAGACUCUCGUAAUCCUCACCCUCCAUCGGGGGGGGCACGGAAGGGGCAGCGAUCGGCCCUGGGGGCCCAGGCCCCGGGGGGGCCGCCGUGCUGCC
rnacentral:lncRNA from 1 species